rnacentral:rRNA from 1 species
CACGUAGGAGGCGAGCGUUGUCCGGAAUCAUUGGGCGUAAAGAGCGCGCAGGCGGCUUGGCAAGUCGGGUGUGAAAUCCCGGGGCUCAACCCCGGGACUGCAUUCGAUACUGUCAGGCUAGAGGUAGGUAGGGGAGAUCGGAAUUCCUGGUGUAGCGGUGAAAUGCGUAGAUAUCUGGAGGAACACCGGUGGCGAAGGCGGCGUUCUGGACUGCAACUGACACUGAGGAACGAAAGCCAGGGGAGCAAACGGG